rnacentral:rRNA from 1 species
GGAUGCAGCAGGCGCGAAACCUUUGCAAUGCGCGCAAGCGUGACAGGGUAACUCCGAGUGCUAUUCCCACCAGGGAAUAGCUUUUGUCGAGUUUAAGAAGCUCGGCGAAUAAGGGCUGGGUAAGACCAGUGCCAGCCGCCGCGGUAACACCGGCAGACCAAGUGGUACCCACGAAUAUUGGGUCUAAAGCGCAUGUAGCCGGUUUGUCAAGUCUUCUGUGAAAUCCUCAGGCUCAACUUUGAGGGCGCGCAGGAGAUACUGGCAGACUUGGGAACGGGAGAGGUAAGGAGUACUUCUGGGGGAGUGGUAAAAUACUGUAAUCCUAGAAGGACUAACGGUGGCGAAGGCGCCUUACCAGAACGUGUCCGACGGUGAGAUGCGAAGGCUGGGGGAGCAAACGGGAUUAGAUACCCCGGUAGUCCCAGCAGUAAAUGAUGCAGACUAGGUGUUGCAAUACUCUUCGUGAUGUGCAGUGUCGGAGUGAAGAUGUUAAGUCUGCCACCUGGGGAGUACGGCCGCAAGGCUGAAACUUAA